rnacentral:rRNA from 1 species
GUUGUCCGGAUUUACUGGGCGUAAAGGGCGUGCAGGCGGUCUGUUAAGUGCAGGGUGAAAGCUCCCGGCUCAACUGGGAGGGGUCAUUCGAUACUGGCGGGCUCGAGGCCGGUAGGGGGAAGUGGAAUUCCCGGUGUAGUGGUGGAAUGCGUAGAUAUCGGGAGGAACACCAGUGGCGAAGGCGGCUUCCUGGACCGGUUCUGACACUGAGGAGCGAAAGCGUGGGGAGCGAUCCGG